AGAAGGUUAGGUGUACCAGGCGUUGGUUGUCCUGGGGAAAGGCGGUAGGUUUGGAUCUUUGGCAAAUCCGGGAUCCUUUAAGACCGAGCACCGAGACGAGCCUUUAAGGCGAAGUCACUGAUACCACGCUUCCAGGAAAAGCUCCUAAGCUUCAGCUUACGCAGACCGUACCGUAAACCGACACAGGUGGGUAGGAUGAGAAUUCUCAGGCGCUUGAGAGAACUCGGGUGAAGGAACUAGGCAACAUGGCACCGUAACUUCGGGAGAAGGUGCACCCUUUUUGGUGGCUCGUGCGAGCUAUAGCUGAAGAGGGUCGCAGUAACCAGGCCGCUGCGACUGUUUAUCAAAAACACAGCACUCUGCAAACACGAAAGUGGACGUAUAGGGUGUGACGCCUGCCCGGUGCUGGAAGGUUAAUUGAUGGGGUCAGCCGCAAGGCGAAGCUCUUGAUCGAAGCCCCAGUAAACGGCGGCCGUAACUAUAACGGUCCUAAGGUAGCGAAAUUCCUUGUCGGGUAAGUUCCGACCUGCACGAAUGGCGUAACGACAGCGGCGCUGUCUCCACCCGAGACUCAGUGAAAUUGAAAUCGCUGUGAAGAUGCAGCGUUCCCGUGGCAAGACGGAAAGACCCCGUGAACCUUUACUAUAGCUUUACACUGAACGUUGAGUUCGUCUGUGUAGGAUAGGUGGGAGGCUAUGAAACUGUGGCGCUAGCUGCAGUGGAGCCAUCCUUGAAAUACCACCCUGUCGUGCUUGACGUUCUAACCUGGGCCCAUUAUCUGGGUCGGGGACCGUGUAUGGUGGGUAGUUUGACUGGGGCGGUCUCCUCCUAAAGAGUAACGGAGGAGCUCGAAGGUACGCUCAGCGCGGUCGGACAUCGCGCACUGUGUGCAAAGGCAUAAGCGUGCUUGACUGCAAGAUCGACGGAUCAAGCAGGUAGGAAACUAGGACUUAGUGAUCCGGUGGUUCUGUAUGGAAGGGCCAUCGCUCAACGGAUAAAAGGUACUCCGGGGAUAACAGGCUGAUACCGCCCAAGAGUUCAUAUCGACGGCGGUGUUUGGCACCUCGAUGUCGGCUCAUCACAUCCUGGGGCUGUAGUCGGUCCCAAGGGUAUGGCUGUUCGCCAUUUAAAGUGGUACGCGAGCUGGGUUCAGAACGUCGUGAGACAGUUCGGUCCCUAUCUGCCAUGGGCGUUGGAGAUUUGAGAGGGGCUGCUCCUAGUACGAGAGGACCGGAGUGGACGAACCUCUGGUGUUCCGGUUGUCACGCCAGUGGCAUUGCCGGGUAGCUAUGUUCGGAAGCGAUAACCGCUGAAAGCAUCUAAGCGGGAAGCGCGCCUCAAGAUGAGAUCUCCCGGGGCACAAGCCCCCUGAAGGAACCAUGUAGACUACGUGGUUGAUAGGUCAGGUGUGUAAGUACAGCAAUGUAUUGAGCUAACUGAUACUAAUGAUCCGUGCGGCUUGACCAU
rnacentral:rRNA from 1 species